AUGUUGUCCUGCAGACCCAUUGUCUUGGCUACAAACUGCAGAGGCUCCUUGCCUGGCCACAUCAGUUGCCUCCGAUCCUCGCUGCAUUGCUCAAGUAGUUUAAAAAGAGGAAACUGGAGAAGGAAAUCGUGCCCUAAAAGUUGCCAUGGAGCGAAACAGCCAUCACAACACUUCAGCUAAUUUCCCUCUCUAGUCAUGUGGAUCUGGGGAAAGUUAAAUAGGGUGCCUCAGCUUUCCACCCUGCUCCUGCCUCUCUCACCACCUCCGUGGUCAAGAAGAAGACUAUCAAGUUAGGAAGAAAGCCAGUUCCUCUAGAACCCAGCCACUGAAGACCUCCUCCAAGUGCCAGUGCCUCUUGCUUCUUCAGAAGGGGUCAAGCCCAGACACAAGCUUCUACCUGGUGGCUGCUUUCUCUUGUUCCUCCUGAUCAGUUAAUUGCCAUCAUUGCUUCCCUUUGAUAAUUCUCUCCCACCAGUCACCCUUCCUUGCUUAAUCUCCCACUCCCAUCUGUUCUGCAUCCUUCCUACAUCAUACUUAUUUACUCCUUUCUGCCAUCAAAAAAAAGCCUCAGCAAACUAACCAGACCUGAGACACAGCCAUAAUGAAACAGAAUGUUAAAUUUACAUCACCUCACUCCUGUGUUUUCCUCUCACAUACCCUUUUUGUUUUUUUUUUUUUUUUCCUAGUGAAUUUUCCUUCGGCUUGGGACUCCUUCUUGUAACUUUGCACAACCACUCUUGCAGAGAGGGACUUCUUUAUUUUGCUGUGCUGCAAAAUCUGUCUUCUGGCUUAAUGUGAGCCAUAAAGAAGAACAAGGUGGUUCUCCUCCACUUCAGGGAGUGCCUGUUGAGGCUGAAGCAGCCUUUAUUUGGCUGCAGAAGCUAGUUUUCCAGCUUGUCUGCAGACCCAACACUUCAUCAAGUCUUCAUCACUCAGGGACCGAAAAGCUUAAAUUUUGAAGCAUCAAGGGCCAGGCUCUAAGAAACAAGUUAUUGCUCUUAUCUUGGACAAAGCCAAGUCCCUCUCCCACAUUGAAGCAUCAAGGGCCAGGCUCUAAGAAACGAGUUAUUGCUCUUAUCUUGGACAAAGUCAAGUCCUUCUCCCACACUUGAAAGAAAAAAAAAAAGGAAAAAAAAAAAGAAAAUAAAAGACGAGUGAAGUUCA
rnacentral:lncRNA from 1 species